rnacentral:rRNA from 1 species
UACAGAGGGCUCGAGCGUUAGUCGGAAUCACUGGGCUUAAAGGGUGCGUAGGCGGCUCGUCAAGUGCUUUGUGAAAUCCCACAGCUCAACUGUGGAACAGCAGGGCAAACUGACGAGCUUGAGGCAGGUAGGGGCCGGAAGAACAGUAGGUGGAGCGGUGAAAUGCGUAGAUAUCGGGAGGAACACCAGUGGCGAAGGCGACUGUCUGGGGUAUUGCUGACGCUGAGGCACGAAAGCCAGGGGAGCGAACGGG